AAAUUGAAGAGUUUGAUCAUGGCUCAGAUUGAACGCUGGCGGCAGGCCUAACACAUGCAAGUCGAACGGUAACAGGAAACAGCUUGCUGUUUCGCUGACGAGUGGCGGACGGGUGAGUAAUGUCUGGGAAACUGCCUGAUGGAGGGGGAUAACUACUGGAAACGGUAGCUAAUACCGCAUAACGUCGCAAGACCAAAGAGGGGGACCCUCGGGCCUCUUGCCAUCGGAUGUGCCCAGAUGGGAUUAGCUUGUUGGUGGGGUAACGG
rnacentral:rRNA from 1 species